CACGCUGCGCCUUGGUCUACUCUCUUCGACGAACGUGACAUACCAGCCUUGUUGGAACAACGGGCAACAGCUGUAGGCUGACAGGGAAUCAUAGGGCCUGGUCUUCUGGCAGCUCUUCGGAGUGCUGCUGCGCUGUUGGCCGCUGGGCUGAUGUGAGACUUCCCAAAGCAAUGGAUGGCUGACACAAGCCUUGAUGGAUUGCCUUUAAUUGCUUUGCCAUUGCCACCAGUGCCUCACUGAAGUUGUCAACCAGGCUGUUGGCAGGAGCGCAAUCGGUUUGUUCCUACAAGCAGGUGGCCAUGUUUGCAACCAAACAUAGAAACUACUAAGAUACUUCUACUGAAGGUACAAUGCACAAUGAAGGUUGUAUAUUUGGAUGGUUCAACUGCACUCAAUAUUGAUGACAACACCAUAUACCAUUAUUUGAAAACAACUGUGGAAAACGAUAACCCAAACAGAAUACAAGUGCCAGUCUAAAUACUUUUCCUGUAUUCAUUCAUGAAGUGCAGAUGUACUGAACAUUGAUGUUUUAAGCUUCAUACGUUUUACUGGUGAGCUUGGAUCCCAAAGUUGGUGAUUGGAAUGAGCUGUAGGUAAUAGUUAGAAUCAUGCUGGUAAAUGAUAUGACAAUCUAUUUUAGUGGUUGUAGCAUGUCUGUGAAACAGUAAGUACUUGUUGAGUACAGGCAUGUUACCUGUGUCUGACUUACCUCUUGGCUGAUUUUGCUGCCUUUUGUCCCUCAGGGGUUGCAGGAACUCCAGGGAAAUGUUACAAUGAACACUGAUGCAUGUAUUUAUGUACAUUAACAGUACAUUCAUUUCAUGUUGGGUUUUAUAAUGUUUUGUUGGCACUGUAUUACCUCCUGAUGAUAUUUUAAAGAGCUCAGCCCGCGUCUCCAGUGUUGUGGGAAGGAAGUUGCUGGAGAAGCAUCCAAAGUUCUGCCCCACUGCAGCCUGGUGCUUACAUGGUGCUCCUGUAUGGCCUACUGGGCAGAUGUCUGAUCGUUGAAGAUUGCUCUCCAAAGCAAGGAAUCUAGACUUAUGGAAAGCCUCCCAACGUCCAAGUGCCACGUCUGUCACCUUGGCUUCAUAGUAGGUCUCCAAGCGGGAUGUGAGGAGAUCAAACAGCUGCGGCAGAUUGAAGGCGUUGGUCCUCUGGAGGAUUUUGUCUUUCAGGACUCUCAUGGCAGCUUCCACGUAGUUGUUGGCGUCAUUCCCACAGUCGUCAGAUAGAAAAAGACUAGGCCCUGCCUGACCUCUGACCUCUCCCAGCAAAUGCAUCCUCCGCCAAUGUCUCCUUCAGGAGCCCUCAAAAAUUGUAGUCUCAUCUUCUGACUGGGCGAAGAUGAUCCCAAGAGGAAGACCACCUGCACGUGUGCGUCAAUAGUAAAAACACUGCAGUUCUCUGUCCAUGUUUCCGGCUGAAUCAAUGAAACAUGGCUCCCCACUGUGUUUGAGCUGAUGGACCCGCUUCAUAAGGGGGGAGCAUAUGGCCACGAGAGGAGUUCCACCUGAAGAUGUUGCCAUCUUAGCACAGGUGCUGCUGCGUUUAAGAUUGUACUCCUCUAUCUGCCUCUACUGCAGACAUCAUGGAAGGCCCACUCUGUUCUCUUUCCUAAAGACUUUCUGAUACAA